UCUUGCAGUGCAUACAUGCCCAGUUAAGCAAAUAUAUCCCUCACUAGUGCAUGCAGUCCAUACAUCAGAAGUUAAACAAAUUCUAUUUUUGAUAUUUGCCAACACUUGUUUAAGCUUCUCUUUUUCUUGAAAGUAGAUCUUAGUAAUGUCAUACACAAGUGUGUUUCUAGAGAUACAAGGCACAUCGGGAUUCAAAUACUUCUGCCAUUUUCUAAUACCAUCAUAUUCAACAAAUGAAAAUGGUAAAUCAUGUUUGAUGACUGCAGAAGCUAACAACUCCCUAGCAACAUUUGGAUCUACUUUCCUAGAUUCAAGUUU